UCCUGGUUAGCUCAGUUGGUAGAGCGCUCCACUGGUAAUGGAGAGGUCCCGGGUUCGAUACCCGGACCAGGCG
rnacentral:tRNA from 1 species